GGCUUUUUUGGAAUCUUGUGAGAACCUAGAUAAGUUGGAAUAUUAGAAAGGCUCUCCUAUUAAAAAAGUGCAGUAAAGCAUCUUUUGCACUUGAUAUCAUAGAACCAUGCCAUGGUUUCUGCAUAUCCAGAUCGACUCCGAUGCUGCCGCUGCUCAAGAUGCUUUUCUAAGCAAAAGUUCAUGUGGACUGUGGCUUGAGGGAAAAAUUAUUUCUCAAAAGCAAAUUUGAGCAACUUGUGUUCAUUGUUGAAUAUAGCCCAUAAAUUAUUGGAAUUUUUAUUGUAUAUAUUUACAGAAUCUGCAUUUCAUAUAUGGUAAUAUCAUGACUUUGGUCAUGAUUUCCCUGUAAUUUCUAGUGUUUCAUGAAUGGAUUACAGUGUUUUACGUAUGGAAGUUGACUUUAAUCUAUUCUAUCUUAUUUUUUGGAUUACUACCAACUGCUCGUACUAUCAUUGGC
rnacentral:lncRNA from 1 species